GACGAACGCUGGCGGCGUGCUUAACACAUGCAAGUCGAACGAUGAAGCCCAGCUUGCUGGGUGGAUUAGUGGCGAACGGGUGAGUAACACGUGAGUAACCUGCCCUGGACUCUGGGAUAACCCCGAGAAAUCGGAGCUAAUACCGGAUUGGACCUUUCCUCGCAUGAGGUUUGGUGGAAAGUUUUUCGGUUUGGGAUGGACUCGCGGCCUAUCAGCUUGUUGGUGAGGUAAUGGCUCACCAAGGCGUCGACGGGUAGCCGGCCUGAGAGGGUGACCGGCCACACUGGGACUGAGACACGGCCCAGACUCCUACGGGAGGCAGCAGUGGGGAAUAUUGCACAAUGGGCGCAAGCCUGAUGCAGCAACGCCGCGUGCGGGAUGACGGCCAUCGGGUUGUAAACCGCUUUUAGUAGGGAAGAAGGGCUUCGGCUUGACGGUACCUGCAGAAAAAGGACCGGCUAACUACGUGCCAGCAGCCGCGGUAAGAC
rnacentral:rRNA from 1 species